rnacentral:rRNA from 1 species
GACGAACGCUGGCGGCGUGCUUAACACAUGCAAGUCGAACGGAAAGGCCCUGCUUUUGUGGGGUGCUCGUGUGGCGAACGGGUGAGUAACACGUGAGUAACCUGCCCUUGACUUUGGGAUAACUUCAGGAAACUGGGGCUAAUACCGGAUAGGAGCUCCUGCUGCAUGGUGGGGGUUGGAAAGUUUCGGCGGUUGGGGAUGGUCUCGCGGCUUAUCAGCUUGUUGGUGGGGUAGUGGCUUACCAAGGCUUUGACGGGUAGCCGGCCUGGGAGGGUGACCGGGCACAUUGGGACUGAGGUACGGACCAGACUCCUACGGGAGGCAGCAGGGGGGAAUAUUGCAGAAUGGGCGGAAGCCAGAUGCAGCAACGCCGCGUGCGGGAUGACGGCCUUCGGGUUAAAAACAGCUUUCGCCUGUGACGAAGCGUGAGUGACGGUAAUGGGUAAAGAAGCACCGGCUAACUACGUG